rnacentral:RNase_P_RNA from 2 species
GCCAAUGCUGCGUUUCUUUGCUCACAAACAGACACCGGGUCCCUCUCGGAUGUCCCUGCAUGCAAAUGAGAAAUUCGGAGUAAUCUUCAUCUUCACCCGCCACCUUUGGCCGCUGCCCGUGAGGGUCUGGCGUGAACACGCCUGCUCCUGGCAUCAGAAAGCUCAGGGCCAGCCGCCGGCACUGCCUUCGGGCGGUGCUCGUGCAGGUCUGUACCCCUAUGGGAGUCAGGGCGAAGAUUGUGUGUGCGCGAAAGCGUGCGACACUUUAGUGCAAUACGCGGCGUACCGUUUCCCUCGGUAUCAUUCGAUUCCGAUUACUCUGGC